GGAGCCGCCCGGGCGGACGCCGGCGCAAUCACGCGCGGGAGGAAAGUCCGGGCUCCACAGGGCAGGGUGCUGGCUAACGGCCAGCCGAGGCGACUCGCGGGACAGCGCCACAGAGAACAGACCGCCGGCCGAAAGGCAGGCAAGGGUGAAACGGUGCGGCAAGAGCGCACCGCGCCGCCGGUGACGGCGGCGGCACGGCAAGCCCCACCCGGAGCAAGAGCAAAUAGGGGAGCGCCGCCUCGAGCGGCAACGGUGGCCCGCCGUGCUCCCGGGUAAGCUCGCUCGAGGCCCGCGGCAACGCGGGUCCUAGAGGAAUGUCCGCCUCCCCCGCCCUGGCGACGGGGCGGGGAGACAGGACCCGGCUUACAGGGCGGCUCCGACC
rnacentral:RNase_P_RNA from 1 species